UUCAAAUAUUCUUUCUCAAGUAGAUUAAAAGAAAAUAUUUUAUAUCCAUUUUCUUUUUGACACUGUAAACCUUGUCAACUUUAUCUGUCUAUUUCCUUUGACUUAUUCUCACCAUCUCUCAGGCUUGUUUGAUAACAGGAAGCAAGUUCAUGAACCAUAAAUUGAAAGUUCUUGAAGAACUGUAAAUUAGAAAUUACUUAAAAAGUUUUUGGUUUCUGUAUUUGAUAACCUGGUAUUUGUAUUGGAUUAGCUUUGAGUAAUAGUCAAGAUGUAAAAAGUUAAAAUUGAGAUAUAGAUAUUAUUUAUUUAUUAUUAAUUUGUAGAAUA
rnacentral:lncRNA from 1 species